rnacentral:rRNA from 1 species
UAGGGAAUCUUCGGCAAUGGACGAAAGUCUGACCGAGCAACGCCGCGUGAGUGAAGAAGGUUUUCGGAUCGUAAAACUCUGUUGUUAGAGAAGAACAAGGACGUUAGUAACUGAACGUCCCCUGACGGUAUCUAACCAGAAAGCCACGGCUAACUACGUGCCAGCAGCCGCGGUAAUACGUAGGUGGCAAGCGUUGUCCGGAUUUAUUGGGCGUAAAGCGAGCGCAGGCGGUUUCUUAAGUCUGAUGUGAAAGCCCCCGGCUCAACCGGGGAGGGUAAUUGGAAACUGGGAGACUUGAGUGCAGAAGAGGAGUGUGGAAUUCCAUGUGUAGCGGUGAAAUGCGUAGAUAUAUGGAGGAACACCAGUGGCGAAGGCGGCUCUCUGGUCUGUAACUGACGCUGAGGCUCGAAAGCGUGGGGAGCAAACAGG